rnacentral:rRNA from 1 species
UUAACGGGGGAGUGCAUUGGAGACUGGGAGACUUGAGUGCAGAAGAGGAGAGUGGAACUCCAUGUGUAGCGGUGAAAUGCGUAGGUAUAUGGAAGAACACCAGUGGCGAAAGCGGCUCUCUGGUCUGUAACUGACGCUGAGGUUCGAAAGCGUGGGUAGCAA